UGGUGGUAGGUCAGGUGAAUAUGGCAGAU
rnacentral:piRNA from 1 species